ACGCUGAAGGCAUCUAAGCGUGAAGCCCCCCUCAAGAUGAGAUAUCCCUGACGAAAGUCAAUAAGAUCCCUUGAAGACGACGAGGUAGAUAGGGCAGGGGUGGAAGCAUGGCAACAUGUGGAGCUGACUGUUACUAAUAGAUCGAAGGCUUGACCAA
rnacentral:rRNA from 1 species